GACGAACGCUGGCGGCGUGCUUAACACAUGCAAGUCGAACGGAAAGGCCCUGCUUUUGUGGGGUGCUCGAGUGGCGAACGGGUGAGUAACACGUGAGUAACCUGCCCUUGACUUUGGGAUAACUUCAGGAAACUGGGGCUAAUACCGGAUAGGAGCUCCUGCUGCAUGGUGGGGGUUGGAAAGUUUCGGCGGUUGGGGAUGGACUCGCGGCUUAUCAGCUUGUUGGUGGGGUAGUGGCUUACCAAGGCUUUGACGGGUAGCCGGCCUGAGAGGGUGACCGGCCACAUUGGGACUGGGAUACGGCCCAGACUCCUACGGGAGGCAGCAGUGGGGAAUAUUGCACAAUGGGCGGAAGCCUGAUGCAGCAACGCCGCGUGCGGGAGGACGGCCUUCGGGUUGGAAACCGCUUUCGCCUGUGACGAAGCGUGAGUGACGGUAAUGGGUAAAGAAGCACCGGCUAACUACGU
rnacentral:rRNA from 1 species